rnacentral:rRNA from 1 species
ACUGGGGUGAAGUCGUAACAAGGUAGCCGUAGGGGAACCUGUGGCUGGAUCACCUCCUUAAC